rnacentral:rRNA from 1 species
UGGGGGAAUAUUGCACAAUGGGGGAAACCCUGAUGCAGCGACGCCGCGUGAGUGAAGAAGUAUUUCGGUAUGUAAAGCUCUAUCAGCAGGGAAGAAAAUGACGGUACCUGACUAAGAAGCCCCGGCUAACUACGUGCCAGCAGCCGCGGUAAUACGUAGGGGCAAGCGUUAUCCGGAUUUACUGGGUGUAAAGGGAGCGUAGACGGCGAUGCAAGUCUGAAGUGAAAGCCCCGGGCUCAACCUGGGUACUGCUUUGGAAACUGUAUUGCUGGAGUGCUGGAGAGGUAAGCGGAAUUCCCAGUGUAGCGGUGAAAUGCGUAGAUAUUAGGAGGAACACCA